rnacentral:rRNA from 1 species
GGGGGGGGCAAGCGUUGUUCGGAAUUACUGGGCGUAAAGGGCGCGUAGGCGGUUGGAUAAGUCAGCUGUGAAAACCACGGGCUUAACUCGUGGCCUGCAGUUGAGACUGUCUGGCUUGAGUGUGGGAGAGGAGAGUGGAAUUCCUGGUGUAGCGGUGAAAUGCGUAGAUAUCAGGAGGAACACCGGUGGCGAAGGCGGCUCUCUGGNCNCNAACUGACACUGAGNCGCGAAAGCNNGGGNAGCNAACNGGAUUAGANACCCNGGUAGUCCNNGCNGUAAACGAUGCACACUAGACGUUCGUCAUCCGCGAGGGUGGUGAGUGUUGCACCUAACGCGAUAAAUGUGCCGCCUGGGGAGUACGGUCGCAAGGCUA